GUCCCUGUAGCUCAAUGUAUAGUGCGUUGGAUUUCUAAUCCAAAGGUCGUGGGUUCGAUUCCCAUCUGGGAUG
rnacentral:tRNA from 1 species